rnacentral:rRNA from 1 species
UACGGAGGGGGCUAGCGUUGUUCGGAAUUACUGGGCGUAAAGCGCACGUAGGCGGCUUUGUAAGUUAGAGGUGAAAGCCCAGGGCUUAACCCUGGAAUUGCCUUUAAGACUGCAUCGCUAGAAUCAUGGAGAGGUGAGUGGAAUUCCGAGUGUAGAGGUGAAAUUCGUAGAUAUUCGGAAGAACACCAGUGGCGAAGGCGACUCACUGGACACGUAUUGACGCUGAGGUGCGAAAGCGUGGGGAGCAAACAGG